rnacentral:rRNA from 2 species
CAUUUGAGUGAGUGGCGAACUGGUGAGUAACACGUGGGAAACCUGCCCAGAAGCGGGGGAUAACACCUGGAAACAGAUGCUAAUACCGCAUAACAACUUGGACCGCAUGGUCCGAGUUUGAAAGAUGGCUUCGGCUAUCACUUUUGGAUGGUCCCGCGGCGUAUUAGCUAGAUGGUGGGGUAACGGCUCACCAUGGCAAUGAUACGUAGCCGACCUGAGAGGGUAAUCGGCCACAUUGGGACUGAGACACGGCCCAAACUCCUACGGGAGGCAGCAGUAGGGAAUCUUCCACAAUGGACGAAAGUCUGAUGGAGCAACGCCGCGUGAGUGAAGAAGGGUUUCGGCUCGUAAAACUCUGUUGUUAAAGAAGAACAUAUCUGAGAGUAACUGUUCAGGUAUUGACGGUAUUUAACCAGAAAGCCACGGCUAACUACGUGCCAGCAGCCGCGGUAAUACGUAGGUGGCAAGCGUUGUCCGGAUUUAUUGGGCGUAAAGCGAGCGCAGGCGGUUUUUUAAGUCUGAUGUGAAAGCCUUCGGCUCAACCGAAGAAGUGCAUCGGAAACUGGGAAACUUGAGUGCAGAAGAGGACAGUGGAACUCCAUGUGUAGCGGUGAAAUGCGUAGAUAUAUGGAAGAACACCAGUGGCGAAGGCGGCUGUCUGGUCUGUAACUGACGCUGAGGCUCGAAAGUAUGGGUAGCAAACAGGAUUAGAUACCCUGGUAGUCCAUACCGUAAACGAUGAAUGCUAAGUGUUGGAGGGUUUCCGCCCUUCAGUGCUGCAGCUAACGCAUUAAGCAUUCCGCCUGGGGAGUACGGCCGCAAGGCUGAAACUCAAAGGAAUUGACGGGGGCCCGCACAAGCGGUGGAGCAUGUGGUUUAAUUCGAAGCUACGCGAAGAACCUUACCAGGUCUUGACAUACUAUGCAAAUCUAAGAGAUUAGACGUUCCCUUCGGGGACAUGGAUACAGGUGGUGCAUGGUUGUCGUCAGCUCGUGUCGUGAGAUGUUGGGUUAAGUCCCGCAACGAGCGCAACCCUUAUUAUCAGUUGCCAGCAUUAAGUUGGGCACUCUGGUGAGACUGCCGGUGACAAACCGGAGGAAGGUGGGGAUGACGUCAAAUCAUCAUGCCCCUUAUGACCUGGGCUACACACGUGCUACAAUGGAUGGUACAACGAGUUGCGAACUCGCGAGAGUAAGCUAAUCUCUUAAAGCCAUUCUCAGUUCGGAUUGUAGGCUGCAACUCGCCUACAUGAAGUCGGAAUCGCUAGUAAUCGCGGAUCAGCAUGCCGCGGUGAAUACGUUCCCGGGCCUUGUACACACCGCCCGUCACACCAUGAGAGUUUGUAACACCCAAAGUCGGUGGGGUAACC